rnacentral:rRNA from 1 species
GGGCCCGCACAAGCGGCGGAGCAUGCGGAUUAAUUCGAUGCAACGCGAAGAACCUUACCAAGGCUUGACAUAUAGAGGAAAAGUGCAGAAAUGCACUCCCCGCAAGGUCUCUAUACAGGUGGUGCAUGGUUGUCGUCAGCUCGUGUCGUGAGAUGUUGGGUUAAGUCCCGCAACGAGCGCAACCCUCGUCCUAUGUUGCCAGCACGUAAUGGUGGGAACUCAUGGGAUACUGCCGGGGUCAACUCGGAGGAAGGUGGGGAUGACGUCAAGUCAGUAUGGCCCUUACGCCUAGGCUGCACACGUGCUACAAUGCCCGGUACAAUAGGAAGCAAGACCGCGAGGUGGAGCAAA